UACGUAGGGUGCAAGCGUUGUCCGGAAUUACUGGGCGUAAAGCGUGCGCAGGCGGUUUGCUAAGAGAGAUGUGAAAUCCCCGGGCUUAACCUGGGAACUGCGUUUCUAACUGGCAGGCUUGAGUGUGGCAGAGGGGGGUGGAAUUCCACGUGUAGCAGUGAAAUGCGUAGAGAUGUGGAGGAACACCGAUGGCGAAGGCAGCCCCCUGGGCUAACACUGACGCUCAUGCACGAAAGCGUGGGGAGCAAACAGG
rnacentral:rRNA from 1 species